UUAGAAUUCAAUGACAUUUGUUGAAUAGUUUAAUUGGCAGAGAUUAUAUCAAAGUGUCACUUAUAUUACAUAUAAAGAACAUGAACUAGUAUUAGGUAAAGGAAAGCGGAAAGCGGACGCAGUGGUCCAGUGGUAACACUGUUCGAGCCUCCGGUCCUCCAACUAAAAAUACUAAAAUUGAGGUAAGAGUCUCGUGUAUGGGUGCUUUACAUCUGGCACGCUAAAGAACCAGGAAAGCUUCUGGAAUUGGAGUGUCUUCUGUAUCUUGCACUAUCCGCCUACUAACAUUCGUAACAGUCUUCUGGAGGAGUCGCCCAUAUGGGCUACCGGUGGCGACUAUAAAUAAGCUUACAUACACACACACUUAGGUAAAGGAUAAAAAAAGUGAUACGAAUUAGGCUCCCGAAAGUAAAAACAAACCUUAAACGUAAUAUAAAAAAUAUCAACUGUCCUAAUUACACUGGCUUCUUAGUUUAAACUGAAAGGGUUUUUGUUGUCUACAUCCAACUUUAUAUUGCAAUGAACUGCUUUGUCGAUAAGUAGAUAACUCACAUGCAUAGUUUUGCUACCGACACAAGUAGCGAGACUCUCGUCAGUGUAUCUGUUAUGGCCGUCCAAUGAGAAAUAACAAUGUGAAUUCGGAUACGUUCUGAAAUGAAUAUAAAAAUAGGGAUAAACUCGUUAAUCAAUGGGAAAUAAAAGUGUGAACACGGAUGUAAAGGACACAUUCGGAAAUGACUAUAAAAUAUGGAGAAUCUCGUUGGCCGCGCAAUGGGAAAUAACAAUGUGAAUUCGAUAUAAAGACCAUACUCGGAAAUGACUAUAAAAUAUGGAGAAUCUCGUUGACCGUCCAAUCGGAAAUAACACGGAUGUAAAAGACAUAUUCAAAAGAACAUAAAGACUGUUUGAUGAAAGUUUUGAAUUUUUCGGAGAGCCAAAACAUCUUUCACAUUGGUUAUAAGAAUGUUAGAAUGUUAUGUGCAUGUCGUCACGCCCAAGUGAUCGUUUAUCAGAAUGAGGAAGUUAAAAUACCAAGAUUACUGCCAUUAACGACUAACAGUCAAUGGUGUGAAUGUUUCAUUACUGUGAAUCUGGUUUCGAGAUCAUGGCAUAAAAGUCGUCUGGGAUAAAAGUUUAGCUUACAUUAUGGUAUAUGAACCGCCAAGUAUGUACAUUUCUUGUAACAAAAACAAGUGGAAGAAAGUUCUUAAGACUUAUAGUUAGUUUCUAGAUGAGGUAUUUAAAACCUGAUUCGAAAUUUAUAAUGUAAUUUAAGAUCAAGCUUAUCGUCUGUAAUGAGAAAAAAAACUUGGUAUUAAAGGUAUAGUAGAUUGAAAAUAUAAACAUUUUCUACAUAGAUGAAGUUAAUUCAACAUUCAUACAUAACGUGAAUAAUACUCGUACACACGGUCUAGGUCAACAUGACCGUGAGUAUUAUUAAUUUGUCGAUCUUAGAUUAUACAUGAUUUCCUGCAAAAAUGCAUCUCAUUGUGACAAAUAAGUUUGUUGUAUUUAGUCUGACAAAAUGUUAUGAUAACAAUUGAAACAUUUACAUUUACAUAAUUAUAGAUUUCGUAAAUAUAUACUCGACAUGUUUAUGUAUAUAAACAUAUUUAUGCAGUAGUUUUAAAGUAGUAUGGUACACGUAAUAUUUACAUGUAUAGCUAAGCGCAGUAUAAAUGUUGUUCCCGCAUGACAUUUAAUUAUGGAUGGAGCUCUACAUACAUAAUUAAGGUAGUUCUGCACGCUUAAUUACCCGUAGCUGACGCUUUAACGUCAUUUACCCAGAAAACCUAGAAUAAUGCCUGUUAUCCGUUAUACGGGUAGAAUGAAUGUUGUUCUUAUCUCAUGUAUUAAAUGUUAAAAAAUCAGCUCUACUGUCUUUCUUAAGGUUAUUUUUGACAAUAUGAAGGUUUUGAUGUAAUGAUUCAAAACAUAAAUUUUAAAUAAGCAUCGAUGUAAGGACUCCAAUUGAUAUUUGGCUAUUUAGUGCCACAUGAAUCUAUACAUUCAUUUUGCCAUAUGAUUGAAAAUAGGUAAUUCAACAACUAUGAGCAGUAAUUUUAGAAUAUACAAAGUAGAACUUUUUCUAUACAUAAAAACGUCAAAAUAGUGCAUUUUUUCCUUAGAAAUGACCAGAGGACAAAUGUUUUUAAUCGGUUAUACGAAAAAUCAAGCACAAGACCCUGUCUUUUUCCAUCGGAUGAUAUUCUUUCGGAUACAAUGAUGCUUUGAAAAAUAUGAUUUAAUAAAAUUCUACAUUGUAGAAAAUAUUUGUUUCGAAAGUACAGAACUACCUUAAUUUAUAAAUUUAGUAAUUUUGAUGAAGAUUUUUUUACAUUUGAAGUAGAUAUCUUAAGCGAAAACGGGAAUUAGAUAUACAUGUAUGCUAUAUCUAUAAUGAAAGCAUUAAGAAACCCUAGGUGUUGUUUUUGCACAUUUUUAUCUAAUGUGUUGAUGUUGAUUUUUACAAAUCUUGUUCAAAAGGCAAUAUAGAUAUGGUGUAGAUAUCGUUUUUUUUUAUUUUACUAAUGAUUGAUUGUAGGGUAAAAGAUUGCGAUAUAACAUGGCGUAAUUUGACUGUUAUAAUACCACAGCGAUAAGUCAAAACACUUUUUAAUUGCGUUAAAUAUAAUAUAAAUUGUUGUUUUAUCUAUUUGAUUUAAUUCGAGCACCAAACUAUACUUUUUAAUACACAGUUAUGUUUUCCUCAUUAUACGAAUGAGAAAAUCAUCCAUCCUGAUAUGAUUUCAAUAAUUAAUAUUGUUUUGUUUAAAAGAAUUAGGCUACUCUCAUUAUCAUGUUUUGUUUUUGCAUUCAACAGUAUUUAAAACUGAUAAGUGAAACAUAACCACUUCUAACCACUUCACCGUUGGUAUCACAAUUGAAAGUUUUUUCCUUGCUACAAUACGUCUUAACCUCAAAACAACUCACACACUCACAACGCAUUCCCGAAACUAUUUUUAUCCCGUAUUAUUACAUAAGUACUUAAGCUGGUAAGGAUAGUCCUUCAAAAUGUCUUACAAGUUACUUAUCUUGGUAUCUCAAUAUCACAGUAAACUUCCAAUGUUUAACCUGAAUUUCCAUCUGUCAUUGCAAAAGUACUACAGGCUGUAAUUCGUUUUUUGUACCUUUACCUUCUGUCCUUAACCUUGUAUACCACUAUCACGAUAUACUCCCAACAUUCUUUGAAAUACAAAUCUCAAUCUGUUAUUGCAUACUUAAAUGUAUUAAGUAUCACAGGUUUGGCAAGGACAACUUUUCAUGAUUUGAGAACAUGAUUAUGGUCCUCCCGAGUAAAACUUACCGUCAAUGUCAUAUUUGUUUUUAUUUCAGUGCUUGUAUUAUUCAAUGACAUAAAAGCUACUUGUUGCAGAAGAAUAGUUUUUGACAAUGUCGUUACAGUGCUUUCUUUGUACAUUUGUACGUGUAUUAAUUUACUAAGAACGUGUUUUAUAUAUAUAUAAAGAACUUUAACGUAUAGAGGUAAGAGAAAAUUUAGUCUUAGUGUAUAUUUAAGGAGAUAUUUUUCAUUUUCAUCCUUAAUGAAUAAAUUAAAAUGAUACAUAUCGGCGA